rnacentral:rRNA from 1 species
UGCCGCCUAUAGUGUAUCGCGACUCGCGUUUGAUCAUGGGGCAGCACUGAUAACAAGGUAGGAGGAAAGAGGGGGCGAGGAUAACCUACCUAUAAGACUGGGAUCACUUCGGGAAACCGGAGCUAAUACCGGAUAAUAUAUUGAACCGCAUGGUUCAAUAGUGAAAGACGGUUUUGCUGUCACUUAUAGAUGGAUCCGCGCCGCAUUAGCUAGUUGGUAAGGUAACGGCUUACCAAGGCAACGAUGCGUAGCCGACCUGAGAGGGUGAUCGGCCACACUGGAACUGAGACACGGUCCAGACUCCUACGGGAGGCAGCAGUAGGGAAUCUUCCGCAAUGGGCGAAAGCCUGACGGAGCAACGCCGCGUGAGUGAUGAAGGUCUUCGGAUCGUAAAACUCUGUUAUUAGGGAAGAACAAAUGUGUAAGUAACUAUGCACGUCUUGACGGUACCUAAUCAGAAAGCCACGGCUAACUACGUGCCAGCAGCCGCGGUAAUACGUAGGUGGCAAGCGUUAUCCGGAAUUAUUGGGCGUAAAGCGCGCGUAGGCGGUUUUUUAAGUCUGAUGUGAAAGCCCACGGCUCAACCGUGGAGGGUCAUUGGAAACUGGAAAACUUGAGUGCAGAAGAGGAAAGUGGAAUUCCAUGUGUAGCGGUGAAAUGCGCAGAGAUAUGGAGGAACACCAGUGGCGAAGGCGACUUUCUGGUCUGUAACUGACGCUGAUGUGCGAAAGCGUGGGGAUCAAACAGGAUUAGAUACCCUGGUAGUCCACGCCGUAAACGAUGAGUGCUAAGUGUUAGGGGGUUUCCGCCCCUUAGUGCUGCAGCUAACGCAUUAAGCACUCCGCCUGGGGGGAU